rnacentral:rRNA from 1 species
GAUGAACGCUGGCGGCGUGCCUAAUACAUGCAAGUCGAGCGAACAGACGAGGAGCUUGCUCCUCUGACGUUAUCGGCGGACGGGUGAGUAACACGUGGAUAACCUACCUAUAAGACUGGGAUAACUUCGGGAAACCGGAGCUAAUACCGGAUAAUAUAUUGAACCGCAUGGUUCAAUAGUGAAAGACGGUUUUGCUGUCACUUAUAGAUGGAUCCGCGCCGCAUUAGCUAGUUGGUAAGGUAACGGCUUACCAAGGCAACGAUGCGUAGCCGACCUGAGAGGGUGAGCGGCCACACUGGAGCUGGGACACGGUCCAGACUCCUACGGGAGGCAGAAGUAUUGAAUCUUCCGCAAUGGGCGAAAGCCUGACGUUACAACGGCGCGUGAGUGAUGAUGGUCUUCGGGUCGUAAAACUCUGUUAUUAGGGAAGAACAAAUGUGUAAGUAACUAUGCACGUCUUGACGGUACCUAAUCAGAAAGCCACGGCUAACUACGUG